rnacentral:rRNA from 1 species
AGAACGAACGCUGGCGGCAUGCCUAACACAUGCAAGUCGAACGAGACCUUCGGGUCUAGUGGCGCACGGGUGCGUAACGCGUGGGAAUCUGCCCUUAGGUACGGAAUAACAGUGAGAAAUUACUGCUAAUACCGUAUGAUGUCUUCGGACCAAAGAUUUAUCGCCUAGGGAUGAGCCCGCGUAGGAUUAGCUAGUUGGUGGGGUAAAGGCCUACCAAGGCGACGAUCCUUAGCUGGUCUGAGAGGAUGAUCAGCCACACUGGGACUGAGACACGGCCCAGACUCCUACGGGAGGCAGCAGUGGGAAUAUUGGACAAUGGGCGAAAGCCUGAUCCAGCAAUGCCGCGUGAGUGAAGAAGGCCUUCGGGUUGUAAAGCUCUUUUGCCCGGGAAGAUAAUGACUGUACCGGGAGAAUAAGCCCGGCUAACGUCCGUGCCAGCAGCCGC